rnacentral:rRNA from 1 species
AUGGACACCUCCAUUCUCACGGUGCUGAACAAGAUCGGCGAGGUCGCGCAGUUCGCCGUGGCGGAGUACCAGCGCCUGCAGGAUGUAGACAAGCAGGUAGACGACCUCUGUUCCAAACUCGAGUUCUUGAUGGCCAUGAUCCAGGUCGCGGAGGAGGGCAACAGGAUCAAACGCGACGAGCUGGUGCGUGUGUGGGUGAACCACCUUCGCAGCGCCGUGUUCCAGGCCGAAGACAUCGCCGACGAGUACUUCCAAGAGGUGUACCAGUCGCGACCAGGGUUCGAGAGAAAACAAGCAAGGCGAUGCCCAUGCAUCCCGUGCUUCAACUUGUCGGAGGUACCUGUUCGGUAUGAUUUGGCAGGGCAGAUCAAGGAGCUUCUCGGCCGCCUGGACGAUAUCCAGAACAACAAGUUGUUGAACAUGCGACCCAGAAUGGAUGGUGCUCUCGACAACAACAUCCAAGCUAUUGACAAGCCAACCAUAGGUACUAUGGUAGUCGAGGGGCGUGUUGAUGCCGCCGUCGGUUUCGAUGGUUAUAUCAAGUCCAUAAUAAACCUGCUUCUCGAGGACAAGGGAUCCACAGUGGUAGUAGUUACCGGGGAGAGUGGCAUUGGCAAAUCAACUGCGGCACGAGCAGUUCUCGGGGACCGGACCGUAAACAGAAGUUUUGAUAUCUGUGUUUGGGUGUGCUUGCCAGCAAAAUCAAGGGUGGACAAGUACUUGGAUCAAAUUUGGAAGCAGAGUGAUGAACAAACACACCAUGGCUGUGGCAGAAGUGAGUUCAAGCAAGUUCUGGCUAAAAUGAAAUUUUUGGUAGUGUUGGAUGGUAUGGACAGCAUGGAUGAGCUUACGGGCGUAUUAAGGGAGCUGCCUGGUGGCGCCAAGGGGAGCAGGAUAGUUGUAACCACACAGCUUCCAGAUGAAGAAAUCAAGCAACGCAGAUCUGGCGUAACCACAGUGGAAGUCAAAUCCCUUGAGCAGGCAGAUUGCGUUGAAUUUCUUGACAAGGUGUUUUCUGGCCGUUGCCGCCGUGUUUACAAGGAAAACCAGGACAAGUUUGUUGACAAAAUAUACAAGAUUUCAGGAGGACUUCCUCUUGCUGUUGUAUUGCUUGGAGGACUCCUGUACUUCAAAGACCAUGAAACCCAAUGGAAUGAGGUAUUCGAUCUACUGGAAUCCUAUGCUCGCAAGAGGCUAAUCAAGCGGCUACUGACAGUGAGCUAUGCCACGAUGCCUACAAUCCUCAAGUCAUGUUUCCUCUACUUUGCGGCCAUGCCUCCGAAUGUCCCCCUUGACCUCAAGAAACUGCACAGGCUGUGGAGUGCUGAGGGAAUUGCUGAAUCGGAAUCCGGAGGUGGUUUUACAGAGAAUGAGGUGUUGGCCCGGUGUCUCCGUGUGCUGGUCUCACGGGGCCUUGUCGAAAGAAUGGAAGAUGGCACCAAGAUAUGCAUCCAUCAGAGUGUUCACGGGUUUGCGAAGGAAAUAGCACAUGAGACCGGCUUCAUGGAAUCUGAUAGUAAAUUUGGCAUCCGUGGUGCGUCAACUGUUCGUGGCCUUUCCAUCCACAACUAUGUUGACAGGGUUAUUCGUAUUGACAAGGAAAACUGCUUUCCAAAGCUUCGUACCUUACUCGGAGAUUUUGCAGAAGAUUCUAUCACUGAAGUAGCUCAUGCAAAGCGAGGCUUGAGGAAGAGUAGGCUGGAAUUCCUGCGUCACUCCAAGUUCCUUCGAGUUGUUGAUCUGCAUGGUGUCAAACUUGGCACAUUACCGGACAGCAUUGGUGACAUGAUCCACCUAAGGUACCUUGGCCUCCGUAGCUGCUGCUUAAUGGAUCUCCCACCAUCGGUUGCCAAGUUGUUGAAUCUGGAGACCUUGGACAUAACUGAUAAUCAAGUCCAGAGUAUUGUGGAUGAAUUUUGGAAAAUAAAGAAGCUCAAGCAUGUCCUCGCAGAAAAGCUCACACUGCCACUUUCAGCAGCCUCCAUGGAUUUGGUUACUGAACUUGAAACACUCCAAGGAGUGAGAUUGUCUUCACAGUGGACGCAGGAGAACUGCCCAAUAAAGAAUAUGGCGAAAAUCUUCUCUUUGGCGGUGGUGGGUGCAACAGCUGCAUGUGUGCGACUGCUUGCUAAGGCGCUAGAGGAAAAAAGGGCACUUCAUCAUUUAAAGAUAGCAGGUGACCGCAUUCCCCUGUUGCGUUCAUCCAGAUAUCAACCACUACAGUACCUGCAAUUAGAUGGGAAGAUCCUUUCAGAUGAGGGGGCUGCACAAUCUUAUCAUACCCGUCGUCCUAUAACAGCUUCUAGGAUUGUCCUGAGGUCAUCUUGUAUGUCUCAAGAGUUGCUCGGCAGAUUUUUGUCGCAGCCAAUCGUAAAUGAGCUGGAAUUGCUAGACAACUCAUUCACUGACUUGAAGUUGUUGCUCCAAGGGGAUGCAUUUAAAUACCUCAAAAAGCUCAAGCUUGGGAACCUGAAAGAAUUGGAAGAACUAGUUAUAGGAGAGUCUGCAGUGCCUAACCUUAUGACCUUGGAGAUUUUUGGAUGCCCCAAACUGAAGAAAAUCCAAGGCCUCAAGAAUUUAGAACAACUCAAAAAUUUGUUCUUCUUUGACAUGCCAGAGAUUGUUGCUCAACUCGAAGCUGUGGACAAAGAACUCUCCGGCAAGAUCAAACAUUACAUUGUAAAGGCGCUUACCUGGACGGCUAGACCAGAAGGAUAA